rnacentral:rRNA from 1 species
UUGAAGGUUGGGUAACACUAACUGGAGGACCGAACCGACUAAUGUUGAAAAAUUAGCGGAUGACCUGUGGCUGGGGGUGAAAGGCCAAUCAAACCGGGAGAUAGCUGGUUCUCCCCGAAAGCUAUUUAGGUAGCGCCUCGUGAACUCAUCUUCGGGGGUAGAGCACUGUUUCGGCUAGGGGGCCAUCCCGGCUUACCAACCCGAUGCAAACUACGAAUACCGAAGAAUGUUAUCACGGGAGACACACGGCGGGUGCUAACGUCCGUCGUGAAGAGGGAAACAACCCAGACCGCCAGCUAAGGUCCCAAAGUCAUGGUUAAGUGGGAAACGAUGUGGGAAGGCCCAGACAGCCAGGAUGUUGGCUUAGAAGCAGCCAUCAUUUAAAGAAAGCGUAAUAGCUCACUGGUCGAGUCGGCCUGCGCGGAAGAUGUAACGGGGCUAAACCAUG